GAUGAAGAACGUAGCGAAAUGCGAUAAGUAGUGUGAAUUGCAGAAUUCAGUGAAUCAUCGAAUCUUUGAACGCACAUUGCGCCCCUUGGUAUCCCGAGGGGCAUGCCUGUUCGAGCGUCAUUUCACCACUCAAGCCUGGCUUGGUGUUGGGCGACGUCCUCUUUGGGGACGCGCCUCGAAACGCUCGGCGGCGUGGCACCGGCUUUAAGCGUAGCAGAAUCUUUCGCUUUGGAAGUCGGGGCCCCGUCUGCCGGAAGACCUGCUCGCAAGGUUGACCUCGGAUCAGGCAGGGAUACCCGCUGAACUUAAUCAUAUCAAUAAGCGGAGGA
rnacentral:misc_RNA from 1 species